GACGAACGCUGGCGGCGUGCUUAACACAUGCAAGUCGAACGGAAAGGCCCUGCUUUUGUGGGGUGCUCGAGUGGCGAACGGGUGAGUAACACGUGAGUAACCUGCCCUUGACUUUGGGAUAACUUCAGGAAACUGGGGCUAAUACCGGAUAGGAGCUCCUGCUGCAUGGUGGGGGUUGGAAAGUUUCGGCGGUUGGGGAUGGACUCGCGGCUUAUCAGCUUGUUGGUGGGGUAGUGGCUUACCAAGGCUUUGACGGGUAGCCGGCCUGAGAGGGUGACCGGCCACAUUGGGACUGAGAUACGGCCCAGAAUCCUACGGGAGGCAGCAGUGGGGAAUAUUGCACAAUGGGGCGAAGCCAGAUGCAGCAACGCCGCGUGCGGGAUGCCGGCCUUCGGGUUGUAAACCGCUUUCGCCUGUGACGAGGCGUGAGUGACGGUAAUGGGUAAAGAAGCACCGGCUAACUACGUG
rnacentral:rRNA from 1 species